AUAAUACUCCCUCCAUUCGGAAUUACUUGUCACAAAAAUGGAUGUAUCUACAACUAAAAUACAUCUAAAUAAAUUCAUUUCUUGGACGAGUAAUUCUGAACGGAGGGAGUAGUUU
rfam:Triticum aestivum genome assembly, contig: Triticum_aestivum_CS42_TGACv1_scaffold_221115_3B